AGUUUGAUCAUGGCUCAGAUUGAACGCUGGCGGGAUGCUUUACACAUGCAAGUCGAACGGCAGCACGGACUUCGGUCUGGUGGCGAGUGGCGAACAGGGCGAGUAAUGUAUCGGAACGUGCCUAGUAGCCGGGGGAUAACUACGCGAAAGCGUAGCUAAUACCGCAUACGCCCUUCGGGGAAAGCGGGGACCUUCGGGCCUCGCACUAUUAGAGCGGCCGAUAUCGGAUUAGCUAGUUGGUGGGGUAACGGCUCACCAAGGCGACGAUCCGUAGCUGGUUUGAGAGGACGACCAGCCACACUGGGACUGAGACGGCAGACUCCUACGGGAGGCAGCAGUGGGGAAUUUUGGAC
rnacentral:misc_RNA from 1 species